rfam:Gossypium raimondii Chr02_contig_492, whole genome shotgun sequence.
AACCCAUGGUGAGGGAACUUUCUCAAUAAAUCCUUAUACCUAUCCCAUGCAUAAUAUAGGGCCUCUAAAUCAUUCUGAACGAAGGAAGAGAUAUCAUUCCUCAGCUU